UUGCUUAUCUGUUGGGAAUUCGUAUUCAUCUGUAUUCAAUUGGGAUGAACAAUUGGAUGGUUGAUUGUUUUCGAAUUAGCAGUAGGGUCCAUAAUUUGUUGGCAUUGUGGUAUAAGAUCUUGAUUGCGCCUCAUAAAUGCAGAAAAGAAUUCUUUUUUCUCUGUUCUUCCAGUUUAUUAGUAGUUGAUAGCUGCAAAUAUCUUGAAGAUAUGGGAGGCCUAUCUAUCAGUGAUGCUAAAUUGAGUCAUGGACUUAGACUUCGACAAGUACUGUCUUCUAGAUGGUAGUCCCACAACCGUGCUACCAGUUCCUAGGCCUCGUUCGUGUGGGGUGAGUAGAAAACCAAGUGGAAAGCCCGGAUUUGGAAAUGAGACACCAAGCCUCACUGGAGAGUUUGAGACUGAUUUUGGUGACUGCUAUAGUGGGUCCUGUAGAGAUGUCUUGUUCCAGGGUAUUAGUCGAGAAGGUGGUGAAGUACUGAAGAGAGAAUCGGUGUAUCAAAGUUCCAGAGAGACUAGUCUGGUUCAGGAAAGGGGUGCUGCUGUUGGGAGGAAGAAGAUUGAGUUCUCUCCACGAACUGCAUCCGCAUUCCCAAUAGGAAUCAUUGAUUCAUUGUGCAAUUCGGAUGAAGAUAGCUCUGUGAUGUCUUUCUCAGAACAAAGUACGGCUUCUGGUUAUGGAAAUGGCAUAUGUGAUGAUUCUUCCAUCACUCUGGAGUUCGAUGCUGCUGCUACAGAAGAAGCUAGUAGUCUUCAAGCAAAAGAUCUAUCUUUCAGUUUGGCCAGGUCGUUAUCUGCAAGAUUUGGUUCGCCCCAUUCACUUGCCAAUACGGGGCGUGAUAGCUCAAGAUCCAGCAGCAGUUUGAGGGGCAGGUUUAGUCAUGUUAAGAAUAUGCUCGACCCUUUUGUUAAGUCCAUGUCUCGCAGAAGUCCAUUGAGUAAUUACAAUGACUUACAUGGAGAAGUAACGAGUGGUAGAUCAACGUUGAGUGGCAUAUUAGAGAAGCCACACCAUGUGGAACACAAUCAUCAAUACGAGGAGAAAGAAAACCAUAAUUCAGCCCCACAGUGUUCUCCAGCACACCUACACGGCCUUCUCAAGACGGGAAGUAAGCACGGAACGCCCUUUUUCCAGUUUUCAGUUAAGUCCCCCGAAGAUGUUUAUGUGGCAAAGAUAUGGAAAGUUGGAAAUGCUUCAACUUGGGUUUACACUUUUCAUAUGCUUCCUAAUAAAAGAAAGCGUGGUACUAGUGGAUGGGGGCUUAAGGAAUGCAACAGAGAAUCAUCUAUGGUUGGAUGGAUGCAUGUUUCAUGUCGCCUGCAUACAGAGUUUGCAGGUGCAGGGGAAUCGAACGAUUCCAUGAUGACAGAGUUUGUGUUAUACGAUGUUUUACAUUCAAGGAAAAGCACUGGUUGCACUGGUCAAUUUGUGUCCUCUGCAGCAGCUACAUUACCCCCGGAGCUAGAAAUUGCAGCCAUUGUUAUGCAGGUCCCAUUGGAGAAGAGAGAGAGCCUCAAAUUUAAGAGUGGAGAUAAGAAGAUUGAUACGACGACUCCCUACUUGCUAGAUCACUGUCGGCUUGGAAAAGCAAAAGAAGGCGUUUCUGAUACUUCAAGUCCGGGAAAUAUGCACGUAGUGAUACCAGCUGGAAACCACAGUUUGCCUGCCAAUGGAAGUUGUGGCCCUUCACCAUUACUCGAUAGGUGGAGGUUGGGUGGCGGAUGUGACUGUGGUGGCUGGGACAUGACCUGCCCUCUCAGUGUUUUCACAAACAAGAUUGCAGAGGAGCAUCAGACUGAGCUCUUUGUUCAGGGAAGAAAAGACAAUACACCGGCAUUUUCCAUGAGGGUGAUUGAGGGUGGGAAAUACACAGUCGAUUUUCAUGCUCAAUUAUCAUCCCUGCAAGCAUUCUCCAUCUGUGUUGCCACUCUGCACGCUACUGAGGCCUCUCCCUCUGGACGUGAGAGGAGAGAACCAUCACUUCAAUGUGAUGCGCUCAAGGUAUCCACCGAGGAGGAAAUCAAGAGCAUGGUCGAAGCAAUAGCAGAGCUAGAGAAGUCCAAAGUCAAGAAGAUGGAACAAGUUGUGCCAUCUUUUGUACUCAACCCACCAUUCUCUCCAAUAGCUCGAGUGUAGGCUUCCAAACGAGCAAUGACGACUGAGAAAAAAAGACAGAGUGGAGAUCUCAUCUCCAAGGAAGCGGAAAUCCUUGAGGGCAAGCUUGAAGAUAGAGAUGGUUUUGUUUGUGAUAUAUCACUGCAUUCUUUGAUGGUAUAGUCAGCAGCCUUUCUUGGUGGCCAAACUUGAAGAUAAGACUACACACAUUAGGAGUAGUGGUCGAAGAGAAGUGUGUAACUUUGAGGUGUUCAUUCUUGGUGGUAGAGUUGGAGAUGUUUUAUUAGUAUUUUAGUAUUAUUAAUGUAUUUCACAUGUAUAAAGUUAUAGGGGUAGUGUACAUGUAGAAUGUAUUGUAGUACAAGAUGAGAUAUAUACAAAAGUAGAACCGACUGCCCUUUGGUGAGUAAAAAAUGCUCCUUCUCUACGGGCAUUGUAAUCGGAGCUGGACUUCCCGUGCAUGGUGAGAUCGGAGAAGAAGACGGGAGACGGAAGGGGCGUGUGCAUCCAAGUUUUUGUUCGGCAUCUAUUUUGUUGCAAAUGUUUAUUGUUAGUUUGUGUAGAAAAGAUUGGGAGAAGGUUUCAUAUAUUUUCUUGAUAUAAUCACACAAUAUGUUACAUUGUUAUAUAGGCAUAGAAUAUGCAUAUAUGGUAAACCUAGAUUAUGGGGAUCCUAUUCUAUCUUUGGUAACAGAUCAAUUUACAAUUAA